rnacentral:lncRNA from 1 species
CCCCAUGAUAGGCCCUGGUGUGUGAUGUCCCCCUUCCCGAGUCCAAGUGAUCUCGUUGUUCAGUUCCCACCUAUGAGUGAGAACAUGCGGUGUUUGGUUUUCUGUUCUUGUGAUAGUUUGCUAAGAAUGAUGGUUUAUUGCGGCACUAUUCACAAUAGCAAAGACUUGGAAUCAGCCCAAAUGUCCAUCAGUGACAGACUGGAUUAAGAAAAUGUGGCACAUAUACACCAUGGAAUACUAUGCAGCCAUAAAAAAGGAUGAGUUUGUGUCCUUUGUAGGGACAUGGAUGCAGCUGGAAAGUACAUUCUGUUUCUAGGGCAGCAUGACAACAGAGCCCCAACUGUCAGGCCAUUCUCCCUAUCUCAGCAUGUUACGUACCCAGCUGUUCUAGUGAUUAUUGAGAACUACAGGCAAGAAGGGCGCUGGGAGAAGGUCAGUUGGAUGCCUUCUGGAGAACUGUCCUUCCAAGGUGGAGAAAAUGGCAGGAAAAAGAGGAAACACAGAAGGCAGGCUUGCAACCAGGUCUUAUCCAGAAGAUAACAAGCGUAUGUAGAGAUAAUGGGAUCAAAAUAAUGAAGCCUUCCAGUAAACACACCAUUCAGCAAAUUCCCAGGUGCUCAGCACAAAGGAAGAAGUGGCAGGCAGGCUCCUUCAUCUGGAUCUAGGAGACAACAGAGCUCCUUGGAACUCAAGAGCCUUUGGGGAGCAUCUCCUGGAAGAGCGAAUGAUCAGCUUCUCCACAGUGGAACAAUAGCAUAUAAAGGUUAGUGCUGUUUCACGUGGGAAAGUUAAAUGAGAAAGAGAACUUAGUCAUUAAUUCCUGCUUGGACCCACAGAUUCCUUAUGUGGGGUGACAGGUGUCAAGAUUGGGGGUCAAAGCAGGCAGGGCUGUGGCCAGGGAUUCUGGGAAGGGCUCUCUAUCAAUCCCAGGUGACUUUUGGAAAAUGCAGGUGGCUCCUGAUGAAAACAGUCAUCAGCUGCCUUAAAAACACUGAAAUAUUCAAUGUGUUGCCAAGUUUUCCAUUUGAGGGGAGCAGAGUGAUGAAUGCAGUGCCUCUCAGGCGUUAAUGACAGGAGUCAUUCGGUGGGGAGGAGGCUGUUAAAAUGCACAGUCUGAUUCAGCAAGUGGGGCGGUACAUUGCAUUCGUGACACAAUCUCAGGUGAUGCCUGUGCUGCCAGUCUGGACCACUGUCUGAGUAACAAAGCUUCAAAGAGCCCCUCUUGCAGCAGCAGGACACAAUGCAUUGAUCGACUCUGCCUUUGCUUCAAAGGGGACUAUUAACAAAGGCACUUGAAUUCCCUGACAUGGAUUCCUCAGCUAUAACACGGAAA